AUUGAACGCUGGCGGCAGGCCUAACACAUGCAAGUCGAGCGGAUGAAGGGAGCUUGCUCCUGGAUUCAGCGGCGGACGGGUGAGUAAUGCCUAGGAAUCUGCCUGGUAGUGGGGGAUAACGUCCGGAAACGGGCGCUAAUACCGCAUACGUCCUGAGGGAGAAAGUGGGGGAUCUUCGGACCUCACGCUAUCAGAUGAGCCUAGGUCGGAUUAGCUAGUUGGUGGGGUAAAGGCCUACCAAGGCGACGAUCCGUAACUGGUCUGAGAGGAUGAUCAGUCACACUGGAGCUGAGACACGGUCCAGACUCCUACGGGAGGCAGCAGUGGGGAAUAUUGGACAAUGGGCGAAAGCCUGCUCCAGCCAUGCCGCGUGUGUGAAGAAGGUCUUCGGAUUGUAAAGCACUUUAAGUUGGGAGGAAGGGCAGUAAGUUAAUACCUUGCUGUUUUGACGUUACCAACAGAAUAAGCACCGGCUAACUUCGUG
rnacentral:rRNA from 1 species